CACGUAGGGUGCAAGCGUUGUCCGGAUUUACUGGGCGUAAAGAGCGCGCAGGCGGUCGAUCAAGUCGAGUGUGAAAGCCCCCGGCUCAACUGGGGAGGGUCAUUCGAUACUGAUCGACUCGAAGGCAGGAGAGGGUAGUGGAAUUCCCGGUGUAGUGGUGAAAUGCGUAGAUAUCGGGAGGAACACCAGUGGCGAAGGCGACUACCUGGCCUGUUCUUGACGCUGAGGCGCGAAAGCUAGGGGAGCAAACGGG
rnacentral:rRNA from 1 species